rnacentral:rRNA from 1 species
GGCGUCCGAGUUGUAAUUUGUAGAGGAUGCUAUUGGGUUGCCACCGGUCUAAGUUCCUUGGAACAGGACGUCACAGAGGGUGAGAAUCCCGUACGUGACCGGCCAGGCGCCCUCCGUAUAGCUCCUUCGACGAGUCGGGUUGUUUGGGAAUGCAGCCCUAAAUGGGAGGUAAAUUUCUUCUAAAGCUAAAUACCGGCCAGAGACCGAUAGCGCACAAGUAGAGUGAUCGAAAGAUGAAAAGCACUUUGGAAAGAGAGUUAAAAAGCACGUGAAAUUGUUGAAAGGGAAGCGCUUGCGAUCAGUCUCGACGGCGGCCGUUCGGCCUCUCUUCUGAGUGGUUUAUUCGGUCGCCGCCGGGCCAGCAUCAGUUUCGGCGGUCGGACAAAGGCGCGGGGAAUGUAGCUCCCUCGGGAGUGUUAUAGCCCCGCGUGCAAUACGGCCCGCCGGGACUGAGGUCCGCGCUUCGGCUAGGAUGCUGGCGAAAUGGUCGUAAGCGGCCCGUCUUGAAACACGGACCAAGGAGUCUAACAUCUACGCGAGUGUUUGGGUGUCAAACCCGUGCGCGCAAUGAAAGUGAACGGAGGUGGGAACCGCAAGGUGCACCAUCGACCGAUCCUGAUGUCUUCGGAUGGAUUUGAGUAAGAGCGUAGCUGUUGGGACCCGAAAGAUGGUGAACUAUGCCUGAAUAGGGUGAAGCCAGAGGAAACUCUGGUGGAGGCUCGCAGCGGUUCUGACG